GAUGAACGCUGGCGGCGUGCUUAAUACAUGCAAGUCGAACGGAGACAGUAGCAAUAUUGUCUUAGUGGCGAACGGGUGAGUAACGCGUUGGUGACCUGCCCCGAAGAGGGGGAUAACAGUCCGAAAGGAUUGCUAAUACCCCAUGUGGUCAUAAGGAUUAGAUGCCUAAUGACUAAACGGAUUUAUUCGCUUCGGGAGGGGCCUGCGUCCCAUCAGCUAGUUGGUAAGGUAACGGCUUACCAAGGCGAUGACGGGUAGGGGACCUGAGAGGGUGGCCCCCCACAAUGGAACUGAAACACGGUCCAUACACCUACGGGUGGCAG
rnacentral:rRNA from 1 species